rnacentral:misc_RNA from 1 species
GGAAAACAUUAAUUGGCCCUAAAUUAAGCCUCUAGAAAUCCUAUAAGAAUGAACUUGUGUGCAAUGCAUCAUAAUGAAAAGUGUAAAAUCAGAAUUUAGUAAGACUAGAUUUACAUAUAGCUAAUUUCCUAACCCAUAUAUUUGACAUAUCAAUUUAGAAUACAAGUUCAGUUAAUCUAUGCCAACAAGUAAACAAUACAUGUUCAAUGAAACCCAUAAGACUUCUAGAGAAUCACAUUUCAAGGGGUUUUUCCUAGUGAAAAUAAUAAAUCAGCUUGCGAUCUGACGUCAUCCCCGUCAACUUAAUGCUUCAAUGAAAGAGAAAACGUAUGAAAAAAAAAUGUUUUGAAUUAGAGUUAGUCCAUUAACAGUCUACUGUU